rnacentral:misc_RNA from 1 species
GAUGAAGAACGUAGCGAAAUGCGAUACUUGGUGUGAAUUGCAGAAUCCCGUGAACCAUCGAGUCUUUGAACGCAAGUUGCGCCUCAAGCCAUUAGGUUGAGGGCACGUCUGCCUGGGCGUCACAUAUCGUUGCCUGAUGCCAGUUUCCUCGUGAUGGGUGACUGUGCAGGGCGAAUGAUGGCUUCCCGUGAGCAUUGUUGCCUCAUGGUUGGUUGAAAAUUGAGUCCUUGGUAGGGAGCGCCGUGAUAGAUGGUGGUUGAGUGACGAACGAGACCCAAUCAUGUGAGACCCCUACCGAAUUUGGCCUUCAUGACGCACAUGCGUCUUUGGAACGCUCAUGACGAGACCUCAGGUCAGGCGGGGCUACCCGCUGAGUUUAAGCAUAUCAAUAAGCGGAGGA